rnacentral:rRNA from 1 species
UACGGAGGAUGCGAGCGUUAUCCGGAUUUAUUGGGUUUAAAGGGUGCGUAGGCGGCGAGUUAAGUCAGCGGUAAAAGCCCGGGGCUCAACCCCGGCCCGCCGUUGAAACUGGCUGGCUUGAGUUGGGGAAAGGCAGGCGGAAUGCGCGGUGUAGCGGUGAAAUGCUUAGAUAUCACGAAGAACCCCGAUUGCGAAGGCAGCAUGCCGGCUUCCGACUGACGCUGAAGCACGAAAGCGUGGGGAGCAAACAGG